rnacentral:lncRNA from 1 species
UUUUAUGAUGUAUAAAUUCGAUACGGAGUGUUUCUCCUACAUUUUUGUAUGCGGCCUACAUGAAUACACAAAGAAGGUUUACAAUAACAAGAUACGAAUUUAGGCGGUAUCCGCAACAAAGUCUUGUAUCACAGUCCUUACAGCAACUGGAAUUCGAACUGAGUGGGUACUUCCGUCUGACCAUGUCAAGCUCCCGAAAGUGUAUCCUCCUUGCACUCUCUGCCUUGUGGUGAAUGUCACCAUAAAUGUUGCGCUUCUACUGCUUCCUUUGGUGAAAGUAAUCACAGAUGGUUCUACCGACACAUCUAUACCUGCUGGAGCUUCAACCACUAAAUGAUAUGUUGCUUCCGCUGGCCCAACGUUAGUCACAGCGCGCCGAAGCAUGACAUGGUCCUUGAGGUCCGGCACGACAAUUGACGGGAGGUUGAGAUUGAGGUAGUAGGACUCACAACCAUCUAAAUAUCCAAGAGUGCAGUUCAAAAACUUGUUGUACUCUCUUGCAUCCACGUCAUAAACCAAGCCAGGGUCAACAGCUCUAUCUGGGUCUAUAUGUCCACCACCAAAGUCGAAGGGGUCAGCUAGUUUCCUUGGGACCGCUUCUGCUUGGAUUGGCAUGCCAAAACGAUCAGUCACAGAUGCUGCAACCAAGACAAGAAACAAUCAAAUCAGUUUUAUAUUUUGACGAAUUGUUUUCAUGUAUUUUUUGUAUUUCAAUGUUCACACCUGUGGUGACGAUGGCAGACUUGAUUAUGGCAGGUGACCAGCCAGGGUGAACCGACUUGAGCAGUGCGGUCACAGCGGAGACAUGCGGGCACGCCAUGGAUGUCCCGGAUUUGAACACGUAGGAGUCGCGGUCCGCUGCCAAGAUGCUGACGCCAGGUGCAGCAAUGUCGGGCUGUUCAAACAUGUGUAUUGAGAAUUAGUUAAGAAGUCGUAAGUUAAGAAAAAUUAGGAAGGCUAGGUAACAAACAAGACAAUGGCAACAAUUGUCUCAAGUUAAGAAAUUGAGAAUGAUAUAUACCUUGAGUAUGCUAGGGAACAACAUGCUUGGACCUCUCGACGAGAAUGAGGCGACCCUCGGCGACAACACCCCUUUUCCGACAACGGUCAUGGCAGGUGACACCUUCACCACCGCAUUCCUAGCAUGACACGUGACUGGCAUGAGUUUCCGGAGAAGAAGAAAACGCAUUCAAAUCUGUUUCAGACAACACGACAUGCACUCACCCUUUGUCCCAACUCCAAUAGGAGGCAAUUCGUUGUGCGAUCUCAAAAUCCACCACUACACAGGGCAUAACGCCCCUACACAAAGGCAGGAAGUCGAGGAGGUUAGUAGUGUACUGUGCAAAUAUGAGGCCCUUGGCGCCAGCCAUGGUGGUGAGAUUGAUGGCUAUGGGAAGUGCUUGUCGAGGCGGCAUGCUUCUCGCCGCCACGGGUUGAUAGCAUAGGACGAUUUUACCGGUGACGUUGCUCAAUGCCAGUGACGACUCCGUGUCACAGCUGCGCAGAAGUUGUAAUUCAGUAUAGUUGAUAAAACACUGAAUCGUGGUUACAAAAGUGGACAACUACAACAAAUGCGUCAAGUGAUUACAGAUGCAUAACUACAGAAGUUUUAUUUCAUUACCUCCCGGCAUAAACAAGGUCUUUAAAGUUGCCGCUGAUCACAGAUGCAUUGUUGUGAAGAGAUUGCCCCUGUAUUUCGAAUCAAGCACACAUUAAUAAGUAAUUAAAGGAAUCAGGGAAAGCUGGCUUCAGGGACGAGCUAAAUGUACUUUUUGUUUGUUUCCACGCUCUGAGACGAAUCAAGUUAAUUUGUCAAAAACUAUAAAACCAAUUUUAUAGCCCCGGAUCUAUCAUUUCCUCAGACCAAAUAAAUACUUGGAGAAUGUUUGUUUGUAGCAUGCACGUACCACAAGCUUUUCUUUGUUUCCGAGCGAUAUCAAGGUCGGGAAAGACCGGUCAAUCGUGCUAGCGGCCACCGUUGUAACCCACGGUUGGGCAUUAGCCACCGUUUGUGGCACAGGGCCAUCAUUCCCUCCGGCAAACACGAUAGAGAUCCCUCUUUGCACAGCAUGCAGUGUCCCAGGAAACUCGUGACCAGCCCCAGCAAUCGAGAGCGACAAGACGUCCACACCAUCAUGCAUAGCAUCAUCGAUAGCCGCGAGGACCGCUGCUUCAGGGCAACUCCCACCCAACCAACACACCUUGUAGAUACUGAGGCGCGCACGUGGCGCCCCGCCGCGUGCCACGCCCAUGCCUAGGCCUCCGUAGCUCACGCCCUGCACUUCCCUGCCAGCGAUGGUCGACGCGACGUGUGUGCCAUGGCCUUCAAUGUCCCUAGGCGACUUAUAGUUUCUGUUUAGCACCUCGUCACUGAUUCCACGCCCAUACCACCGCGCACCGAUGAUCUUUUUGUUGCAACUUGUGGCGUUGAAAUCCUGACCAGUCUGGCAUUUCCCUUUCCACCGUGCCGGCACAGGGCCAUACCCAUUGUCAUCAAAGCUUCGUGAUUCAGGCCAUAUGCCUAUAAAUAAGCAUGGGAAUCAAUUGAUUCGGUAUCGGAAUUUCUCAUAUUCAGGAUUUAAGCUUGAGGGGUCGGACUGCAAACCUGUAUCGAUCACACCCACGAUGACAUCUUCACCAUACUUUGCUUUUCUGAGUAGGCCCGGUUGUUGUCUUGGUUGGUUAUGGUCAAGGCCAAGAAAGUCCCAGCUCCGAGUUGUGUGCGUUUCGUGAUAAGUGUUAGGCUUCACAGUGACAACUUCUGGGAAUUCUACAUCAAAAAUAUGUUGAUUAGUUCUUGUCGGUCAUCCAAGUAGAUACGAUGAUAGGUAGGAGCCUAUAGGACUGACAAUCACUUACUUGCGAUUGUCUCAGCCUGAGACUCGGUGAGCAUCGCCGCAAAACCAGAAAAUCCAUGCUUGUAACUGUAAACUAUCGACCUCAAGGCUUCAUCCUUGCUGUUGUCAAGUAAAAUGAGGGUGAGCAAGUCACGACUAAUACGUCGACGAUGCAACAUGAACUCACAUGAACUCCUGAUUGUUUUUGUUUUGAACAAAAUGAAUUGGUAGCUAGUUACAGUACCUCCCAAAAACAGAGGUUAGCAUGUCACGGUGAGACGCGGUGACCAUGGAUGGGUCAUCAUGCUUCUUCUCCCCCAUAUACACGAUGUAGAGCUGAAAUUCAUUUUGUCGCAUAAGUUCUCAACAAAAAACAGAUAUCAGGAAAGAAAGCAAAUUGAGAGAGGACUCGGGUGUGUAUCUUACUUUACUCGACGCGUUAGCUGAAACAGGCAGCAGUAUUACCAGCAGUAGGAGAGCGCCACAGAAUGCUGUUCUGGAAUCCAUAUCUUGCUUGGAGAAGAGUGCUAUGUUGUUGUGUUUGUGUUCCCUCGUUCGGUUUGUAUGUCUAUAUAGCAGCCAGGAGCAAUAAGGAUGGGGUGCAAGAACAGUUCAAACCAAUUUGUUUGAGUGUCUUUUUUCUCAUUUCAGAGGGAAUGUUUCAGUGUUGUUAGUUAGGUGACAGCGACACACACGCGUGAGGAGCAAAGACUAAUCCUUUUGUCUAUAUAGGAAUCCCCGUGCUUUUUGUAAUGAGGAAGAAGCACCAUGCUUUGAUCAGGUCCUGGCGGCUAUUAGUACCAAACCGGAUAUAGAUCUUAAUUAAUUAUAUGCUCUCUCGUGCAAUGACCUGGUCGACUUUCAAACAAGCUUCCACGGCUUUGCACAUGGGUCUUAAUCGUUCCACAUGCGUCUUAAUCGUUCUACAAACGCGGGCGGCGGUAUAGGUAAUACGUAACAAAGUUGACAAACGUGACACAUUCAAAUAUUCCAUGGGCACGUCAAGGAUAUAGACCCGCCAACUUUCCUAUAAUCGCAUGUACUCAAAGAUGUAACUUUGCCUGUUUUCAAAUAAAGUUCCAAGAGACUUUUUCUUCGAAAAAUAAAUUUACAAGGGCAAAGACUGGUUUUGCUGAUCCGUUUCUCCAGCUAUUACAUUAUAUAAAUCCAGUAAUUCGAGCCGACAUAGUGUGAUGUGGUCGCCUCUCUAAGCUCGUCUCAUGGUUUUCAAUUCUUUCACUGAGAAAGCCAACUAACAAGUAUUUAAAGAGAACACACAUUUAUGGAAAACAUAGGCCCGAGAAUGGAUAUUGGGACGUUACAUAGACAUCAUCAAUCAUAUCAUAGUGCACAUAACAAAGCAUGUAAAACCAAGCUCAUGUUCUCCUACUUUUGUAGGCAUGUAUUAGUAUGUAGUUGAACUUGCUUAUUUAUAAGAACAAGAGCUUGCCCGGCAUCUAUAGUCCUACCCUCCCAUGUCACGGUGAUCAUAGUUUAAACAAAGGGUAAUUAAGGCGUCAUUUUGUGAGACAACCGUACCAACACAUUAACACUUCGUGAAUACAUGGAAACAUCAAAUCACAACACUCCCCAUUGAUAUCCCGGUCACCCUCGGGGUCACUUUUGAGGCUAUAAUAGGUACAUAUCACACUUGCAAGUACAAUCCAGACACAUUGGCAUCAUGAAAACUUAUAUGGUUAAUAUAUGAUACCACAUUACUUGGGCCCUAUUAGUAGACAUUAAGCAUAACAAAGUUGUAUCAAAACCCUAUAAUCUUAGCACUACUAUAUGAUUGGCAUCGUCAAAUUCCCAUCCACCUGCCUACAACAGAUUACUUGCAUAUGGAUGGAAGAAACAUGAUGGAGAUGAGAGGAAAAGAGUUGAUGGCGGUGGAACUCCCUCUUAGUGUGCAGAAUCAACCUCUCGACAACCCUCCUAGACGAGGAUUAGCGAUGGUGUCGACCGUCAAGUGUCAGGAUAAUAUGGCAUAAAUUUCGUGGAACUUAGAACGCCAAGAGAAAUUGAUAGCCGGAAGGAGAUGAUGGGAGACAACCUUUGGAUCCCCACGCGGGUGGCUCACACAACCUCCUCCAUAGCCAGCGUGAGGAGUGGGGCAUUAAGGUCAAUGAUACUCAAAUCGGAAGAGACAUAUCGAGGACGAGGUAAGGGUGGGGGAUAAUCCAUCAUUACAAAAGGAAUGUGAAACCGAAUUUUAUUAAACUAAUUUUCAUGUGUAUUAGAUUAUUUUUUUCACCCGCCAAAGAAUCCUAUCUGGAGCAAUAGAAUUAAAAUGGACAUGGGCGCUCAGAACAAUUAAUUGACAAACGCAAAAAUAAGGAUCUUGAAGUUUGGACCCAAGGACAACAAGGCAUAAAAAUUUUGAUAUCACAAAGGAAAUCGUGCAAACUACAAUGUAAAUCUAAAUUAACUUCAAUGUACUAACACGAGCAUUUUGGACAUUAGCAGCCAUUCAUGAAUUCGGUGAUUUUGGCCCAGCUAAGAAAAUUUGAUCGUGUUUAUUUCUUUUCACUUCCAGUUUAGAAACGUUUUCAUCCAGAAAGAAAGGUUCCGGAGAUUUGAUCCGUCGUUCUCCCUUAGUCUAUUUCAUGUCGAUAUGAUCCGUGGUUUUCUCAUUAAUUCAUUUUUCGUAAAAGUUUGUGAAUAAACCUCUCCUUAGCAAAGAAUCGUAUUUUAUUCCAGUAUAACAUUUCCUGUGAUGAUGUACAAAAUUAAAGUGUUUCUUCUACAUUUUCUUAUGCCAACCACACGAAUACAUAAAUUAUGUGUAUAAUACAAAGAAUAUGAGCUUAAGAUGUAUCUGCAACAAAGUCUUGUAUCACAGUCCGUACCGCAAUAGGAAUUCUCACUGAGUGGGUACUUCCGUCUGACCAUGUCAAGCUCCCAAAAGUGUAUCCUCCUUGUACUCUCUGCCUUGUUGUGAAUGUCACCAUAAACGUCACACUUUUACUAGUGCUUUGGGUGAAAUUGAUCACAGAUGGCUCUACGGACACGUCUAUCCCCGCUGGAGCUUCAACCACUAAAUGAUAUGUUGCUUCCGCUGGCCCAAUGUUAGUCACGGUGCGCCGAAGCAUGACACGGUCCUUGAGGUCUGGCACGGCAAUUGACGGAAGGUUGAGAUUGAGGUAGUAGGACUCACAGCCGCCUAAAUAUCCAAGGGUGCAGUUGAAAAACUUGUUGUACCCCCUUGCAUCAACGUCGUAAACCAAGCCAGGGUCAACGGCUCUAUUUGGGUCAAUGUGUCCACCACCAAAGUCGAAGGGGUCGGCUAGUUUCCUUGGGACUGCUUCUGCUUGGAUUGGCAUGCCAAAACGAUCGGUCACAUAUGCUUCAACCAAUGCCAAGGAAUCAUCAAGUUAGUCAUAUAUUCAAAUGAGUUAUUUUGACGUAUUUUGGUUAUUACUUUCCUACCUGUGGUGACGAUGGCCGAUUUGAUCAUGGCAGGUGACCACUGAGGGUGAACCGACUUGAGCAUCGCAGUCACUGCGGAGACAUGUGGGCACGCCAUUGAUGUCCCAGAAUAGAACACGUAGGAGCCGCGCACCGCUGCCAAUAUGUUGACGCCAGGAGCAGUAAUGUCGGGCUGUCAAAACAUUAAUUUUUAUCAUGAAUUAGGUAUGUAAGUCUUUAAUUCUGAAAAACUAGAGAGGCUAGAUAGCAAACAAACAGUGACAAAAAUUCAACUAUUUGCCUUAAGUUGAUAAUGAUAUACACCUUCAGUAUGCCAGGGAACAAUAGGCUUGGAUCUCUGGAGGAGAACGAGGCGACCCUCGGCGACAACACCCCAUUUCCAACAACACUUACAGCCGGAGACACCAUCACCACCGGAUUCCUAGACACAUGACAAACAUGAAUUAGUUCUUGUAUAAGGAGAUGGCAAACUGAGUGUUCAAAUAUUUUCACGCUGCAGUUUCCAACAAUUCGACAAAUUCUCACUCAGUCAUGUCCCAGUAGGAGAAAAUUCGAUGUGCGAUCUCGAAAUCCACCAGAGCGCAAGGCAUAAAUCCCUCGCACCCGACCAGGCUGUCAAGAUUGUUGGCGGUGUAUUGUGCGAAGAUGAGGCCCUUUGCACCGGCCUCAAUAGUGUAAUUGAUGGCAUAAGGGAGUAUUAACUGGGGCGACCACCGCGAUGCCUCUUCUGGUGCAUAACAAAGGACGGUUUUGCCCUUGACAUUGCCCAAGGCCAGUGAUUCCGGGUCGCAGCUGCUCAAAAGUAUUAAAAUUGAACAUGGUUUUGUCCUAAAGCGCGGCAUUUACUAUUAAUCAAAUGUCGUCAAGAGACUGGUUUCUUUCAUUACCUCCCAGCAAAAACAAGGGCCUGAGAGCCGCUGUUAUUCAUAGCUGCAUUGUAAUUUAGAGAUUGCCCCUGCGUUUGAAAUUGAUCACAAAUUAAAGAACAAGCUAACUGAGGAAAGCUACAAGAUACGAUAUAGUUGGUGGAGAACCAGCAAUGAUUUAAGUAAAGCUUCAAGGAGGAGCAAACCAUUUAUUUUCCCCGGGUUGGUUUGAACGUCACUUUCGUGCUCAGAGAGUCAAAAGGUUAUUAUUUAGUAAAAUUGUAGGAAAAAAAUCCAGAUUGACCAAUCCUCCACAUUCAUGCUAUCUUAUAUGAACUAUUUCAGGAUUGGAGCACGUCUUAUCCAAUAACAUUUUUCACCUGUUUUUUUAUCCAUUAUUAAUAUUUUCCAUGGGGUUUUUCAAUCCCUUGAGAAGGGCAAGGUAAUACUUCCCUGUAAUAUUUCUUAAGAGAUGGAAAAUAUAAGAAAUAAUUUACAUACUUUUCUAAAACAAAGGAGUGAAAUUGUUUGGUACGUACCAUCAGCUUUUCUUUGUUCCCAAGCAAUAUUAGGGUCGGAAAAGACCGGUCAAUCGUGCUAGCGGCCACCGUCGUAACCCAUGGCACGGCAUUCGUCACUGUCUGUGGCACAGGGCCAUCAUUCCCUCCGGCGAACACGACGGAGAUCCCUCUUUGCACAGCAUGCAACGUCCCAGAGUACACCUGACCAACCCCUCCAACAGAGAGCGACAAGACGUCAACCCCAUCAUGUAUGGCGUCAUCGAUGGCAGCAAGGACCGCCGCGUCAGGGCAACCCUCAUCCACCCAGCACACCUUGUAGAUACCAAGUCGUCAAUGUGGUGCUCCGCCACGUGCCACGCCCAUGCCUAGGCCUCCAUAGCUCACGCCCUGCACUUCCCCACCGGCGAUAGUUGAGGCGACGUGUGUGCCAUGGCCAUUGAGGUCCCUAGGUGACUUGUAGUCGAUCUUUAGUGACUCGGCACUGAUGCCACGGCCAUACCACCGCGCACCGAUGAUCUUUCUGUUGCAACCAGUGGCGUUGAACUUCUGGCCACUCUGGCAUUUUCCUUUCCACCGUGCCGGCACGGGGCCAUAGCCGUUGUCAUCAAAGCUUCGUGAUUCAGGCCAUAUGCCUAUAAAGAAGCAUUUACAUCCAUGGGGUUAAUUGAUUCCUGGUCUUGGGAUUUCUCAUGUUCGGGGUUUAAACUUAAGGAUGGGAUUACGAACCUGUAUCGAUCACACCCAUAAUGACAUCUUCACCAUACUUUGCUCUUUUGAGGAGCCCCGGUUGUUGUGGCGGUUGAUUAUAGUCAAGGCCAAGGAAAUCCCAGCUCCGAGUUGUGUGCGUUUUGUGAAAAAUAUUAGGCUUCACAGAGACAACUUCAGGAAAUUCUACAUUCAUAUAUGUUGAUUAGUUCAUUUCGAUCAUGCAAGUUGAUAUAAAGAUAGCAAGCUCAUGGCACCUCAGGACUGACAAUUAAUAAUCAUACUCCAAACAAAUAUGGUUGUGUAAAUUGCAAUGAUGAUGCAGAGGCCGGGGGGUUAACCCCGUCUUAUAAAAAAAGGGUUGACAAUUACUUACUUGCGAUUGCCACAGCUUGAGAUUUUGUUAGCAUAGCCGCGAACCCAGAAAAUCCAUGCUUGUAACUGUAAACUAUCGACCUCACGGCUUCAUCCUUGCUGUUUCAAGUAAUAAUAAAACAAAAGGGAGGUGAGCAAAUCACGACUGUUUCCUGCUAACACAUCUAUGAUGCGACAUGAAACUCAUAGCCAGUAGUACCUCCCAAAAACAGAUAUUAGCAUGUCAUGGUGCGACGCGAUGACCACGGACGGGUCAUCAUGUUUCUUCUCCCCCAUAUACACAAUGUAGAGCUGAAAUUUCAACAAGAAAAUGUUCUCAGUAAAAGAUUGGAAAGAAGAUAAGAUAAAUGCUGUGCGAAGAGGAAUCGAGCAUGGAUCUUACUUUGCUCGGCGCGCUGGCUGAAAGAGGCAGCAGCGUCACCAGCAGUAGCAGAGCGCCGCAGAAUGCUGUUCUGGAAUCCAUAUCUGGCUUCGAGAAGAGUGUUCCCUCGAUCGCUUCUCCCUGUGUGUAUAUAUAGCAGCCAGGAACAAGAACAAGCAUGGAGGCACAAGAACAGUUCAGACGAAUUUGUCUGCGAGCUGUUUCCUUCCCUUUUAAGGGAUUGUUUGUGUUGCUACUUGCUAGGUGACACACACGUCCGAAUGGAAGACCAUAUAUAGAUCCUUGUCUGUAUACAAAGCACCGUGCCUUUUCCAUCAGAGAAGAAGCACCGUGCUUUGAUCAGGUCCGCCAGGAUUAAACAGCUAACCGGAUAUAAAUAUUCUGGUGUCUGACGUAAUGACCUUUUUUUCGAAAAGGGGAUUCCCCGGCCUCUGCAUUAGAACGAUGCAUACGGCCAUGUUAAUAACCAAAUAAAGAAGUACCAACAUGAUUCCAAAGGUCUCCAAAAGUAAAAAAAAAAGUACAUAAAGCUCACACAGAGCCAAAUAAAGGCUAGAAACACCAACUAGCCAGGACAAGAUGCCACAACCGGCCGGCUCAAACUAGAUAGGGAAACUAAGUACCUAUCCUAUUACAUGACCGCCAUCCAAACCGGUUGAAGAUAUCCCGAGCUACCAUCUCCCAGCGGAAAGAUCCAGUAACCAAAUGCUCCCUGGCCUCCGUCUGGGUGAGUAGCGACCACGAACGGAUCAGUGCCGUAGUUCGGAAUAUGACCUGCAAAAAAUGUAUACAUGAUAUUCUGUUAAAGACCAAAUCAUUUCUGCAAGUCCAGAUAGUCCACAGCAAAGCACAAACUCCAACCCGAAUAUGUCUCGCUAAACCAGGCUCAAUCCCAUUAAGCCAAGUCCCAAAUAACGCAUUAACAGAAUUCGGUGGAUUGAUAUUAAAAGCAAUGUGGACUGUCUGCCAAAGUACCUUGGCCAACGGGCAAUCAAAAAAGAGGUGUUUGAUAGUCUCAUCCCGAUCGCAGAAACUACACCUAGUAGGUCUUGUUCAAUUACGCUUUUAUCAAGUUGUCCUUAGUUAAAAUAACUUGUUUAUGGACAAACCACAUAAACACUUUUAUUUUCAAAGGAACUUUGACAUCCCAAACAUGCUUAGACGUAGGAAUGGAGUCCGAAUUAAUAACAUCAAUAUACAUUGAUUUAACCGUGAAUACUCCAGACUUAGUCAAUUUCCAACGCAAUUCAUCGGGUUGUUGGGAAAGCUGGACAUCCGUCAGUCUCCUAACUAGACGGAGCCAUUCUUCCCAACGGUUGCCCGCUGGCGUUCGUCGGAACUGGAUAUUAAGGGGGGUAGACUGAAAGACCGAUGCGACGAAUACCUCACGUCGUUGAACAAUGCGGUACAAAGACGGAUAUUGGAUGGCCAGGGGUGUCCCGCCAAGCCAAGUAUCCUCCCAGAAACGUGUACUCGAGCCGUUUCCAAUCACAAACUUCGUCCUAUUAAAUAAGGCCUGUUUGACUUUCAUCAGGCCUUUUCAGAAAGGCGAAUCGGUCGGCCUGACUAUAACCUGGGACAGAGUUUUUGUCUGGAGGUACUUGCUGCGAAGGAUUUGAGCCCACAUAGCAUCAGUCUCCGAUGAGAGCUUCCACAGCCACUGUCUAAGAAGGCAUUUAUUCUUAACUUCUAGAUUCUCAAUACCUAGACCCCCUUGGUCUUUUGGUCUACAGAUGAUAUCCCAUUUAGCAAGCCGAUAUUUUUUUUAAGCUCAUCACCCUGCCAAAAGAAACGCGAUCGAUAGAAGUCCAGUCUCUUCCUAACACCAACUGGGACCUCAAAGAACGAUAGGAGAAACAUUGGCAUGCUCGUGAGCACUGAAUUAAUCAGGAUUAAUCGGCCUCCGUAUGAUAUGAGCUUACCCUUCCAGCAGCUCAGUUUUUUCUCAAAUCGGUCCUCAAUGCACUUCCACUCUCUGUUUGUCAGCCUACGAUGGUGGAUUGGAAUCCCCAGGUAGGAGAAGGGUAACUCUCCCAACUCGCACCCAAACAAUUGCCUAUAAGCAUCCUGUUCAUGUUUGGCCCUACCAAAACAGAACAGCUCGCUCUUAUGAAAGUUAAUCUUUAACCCGGUCAAUUGUUCGAAAAGGCAUAACACAAGCUUCAUAUUACUAGCCUUGGCCAAGUCAUGCUCCAUGAAGAUGAUUGUAUCAUCAGCGUACUGAAGGAUGGAUACACCUCCAUCAAUAAGAUGAGGUACCAAUCCACCUACUUGACCAUUUUCCUUAGCCCUUCCUAUCAAGAUUGCUAAGAUAUCCACCACAAUGUUAAACAAGAUAGGUGACAUCGGAUCUCCUUGUCUGAGGCCUUUAUGUGUCUGGAAGUAAUGACCUAUGUCAUCAUUAACUUUAAUUCCCACACUACCUUUUUGCGCAAAUGAUUCAACAUGUCGGCGCCAGGCCUCAUCAAAACCUUUCAUACACAAUGACUGUUGGAGGAAUGGCCAUUUGACCUUAUCAUACGCUUUCUCAAAAUCCACCUUAAAAAUUACACCAUCUAAUUUUUUGGAAUGGAUUUCAUGAAGUGUUUCAUGCAGGACGACCACCCCUUCAAGGAUAUUUCUGUCCAGCAUGAAAGCGGUUUGGGACUGUUGCACCACAGAAUACGCAAUCUGUGUGAGUCUGUUAGUCCCGACUGAAGGAAAUAUGCCCUAGAGGCAAUAAUAAAGAUAUUAUUUAUUUCCUUAUAUCACGAUAAAUGUUUAUUAUUCAUGCUAGAAUUGUAUUAACCGGAAACAUAAUACAUGUGUGAAUACAUAGACAAACAAAGUGUCACUAGUAUGCCUCUACUUGACUAGCUCGUUAAUCAAAGAUGGUUAUGUUUCCUAACCAUGGACAAAGAGUUGUCAUUUGAUUAACGGGAUCACAUCAUUAGUUGAAUGAUCUGAUUGACAUGACCCAUUCCACUAGCUUAGCACCCGAUCGUUUAGUAUGUUGCUAUUGCUUUCUUCAUGACUUAUACAUGUUCCUAUGACUAUGAGAUUAUGUAACUCCCAUGUGCCGGAGGAACACUUUGUGUGCUACCAAACGUCACAACGUAACUGGGUGAUUAUAAAGGUGCUCUACAGGUGUCUCCAAAGGUACAUGUUGGGUUGACGUAUUUCGAGAUUAGGAUUUGUCACUCCGAUUGUCGGAGAGGUAUCUCUGGGCCCUCUCGGUAAUGCACAUCACUUAAGCCUUGCAAGCAUUACAACUAAUGAGUUAGUUGCGGGAUGAUGCAUUAAGGAACGAGUAAAGAGACUUGCCGAUAACGAGAUUGAAGUAGGUAUUGGAUACCGACAAUUGAAUCUCGGGCAAGUAACAUACCGAUGACAAAGGGAACAACGUAUGUUGUUAUGCGGUCUGACCAAUAAAGAUCUUCGUAGAAUAUGUAGGAGCCAAUAUGGGCAUCCAGGUCCCGCUGUUGGUUAUUGUCCGAAGACGUGUCUCGGUCAUGUCUACAUUGUUCUCGAACCGUAGGGUCCGCACGCUUAAAGUUACGAUGACAGUUUCAUUAUGAGUUUAUGUAUUUUUAUGUACCGAAGGUUGUUCGGAGUUCCGGAUGUGAUCACGGACAUGACGAGGAGUCUCGAAAUGGUCGAGACAUAAAGAUUGAUAUAUUCGGACACCGGAAGUGUUUCGGGGAAGUUUCGGAUAAAACCGGAGAACCGGGGGGUUACCGGAACCCCCUGAGGGGUUAAUGGGCCUCAUGGGCCUAAAGUGGAGAAGAGGAAAGGCAGCCAGGGUAGGCCGCGCGCCCCCUCUCCCCCUAGUCCGAAUUGGACAAGGAGGGAGGGGUGGCGCCCCCCUUUCCUUCCUCUCCUCUCUCGCUUCCUUCCCCCUCUCCUCCUUGGACAAGGAAAGGGAGGGGAGUCCUACUCCCAGUAGGAGUAGGACUCCUCCUGCGCGCCUCCUACUAGGGUCGGCCGCACCCCCCCUUGGCUCCUUUAUAUACGGGGGCAAGGGGGCACCCUAGGACACAGAAGUUGAUCUUCGUGAUCGUUACUUAGCCGUGUGCGGUGCCACCCUCCACGAUAUUACACCUCGAUCGUAUUGUAGCGGUGCUUAGGCGAAGCCCUACGACGGUUAAACAUCAAGAUAGUCACUACGCCGUCGUGCUGACGAAACUCCUCCACCGAAGCUUUGCUGGAUCGGAGCCCCGGGUGCGUCAUCGAGCUGUACGUGUGUUAAGAACUCGGAGGUGCCGGAGUAACGGUGCUUGGAUCGGUUGGACCGGGAAGACGUACGACUACUUCCUCUACGUUGUGUCAACGCUUCCGCGUCGAUCUACAAGGGUACGUAGAUCACACUCUCCCCUCUCAUUGCUAUGCAUCACCAUGAUCUUGCGUGUGCGUAGGAAAUUUUUUGAAAUUACUACGUUACCCAACAGUGGCAUCCGAGCCUAGGUUUUAUGGUUUGAUGUUAUUUGCACGAGUAGAACACAAGUGAGUUGUGGGCGAUAUAAGUCAUACUGCCUACCAACAUGUCAUACUUUGGUUCGGUUGUAUUGUUGGAUGAAGCGGCCCGGACCGACAUUACGCGUACGCUUACGCGAGACUGGUUCUACCGCCGUGCUUUGCACACAGGUGGUUGGCGGGUGUCAGUUUCUCCAACUUUAGUUGAACCAAGUGUGGCUACGCCCGGUCCUUACGAAGGUUAAAACGGCAUCAACUUGACAAACUAUCGUUGUGGUUUUGAUGCGUAGGUAAGAUUGGUUCUUGCUUAAGCCCGUAGCAGCCACGUAAAACUUGCAACAAACAAAGUAGAGGACGUCUAACUUGUUUUUGCAGGGCAUGUUGUGAUGUGAUAUGGUCAAGACAUGAUGCUAAAUUUUAUUGUAUGAAAUGAUCAUGUUUUGUAACCGAGUUAUCGGCAACUGGCAGGAGCCAUAUGGUUGUCGCUUUAUUGUAUGCAAUGCAAUCGCGCUGUAAUGCUUAACUUUAUCACUAAGCGGUAGUGAUAGUCAUGGAAGCAUAAGAUUGGUGAGACGACAACGGUGCUACGAUGGAGAUCAAGGUGUCGCGCCGGUGACGAUGGUGAUCAUGACGAUGCUUCGGAGAUGGAGAUCACAGGCACAAGAUGAUGAUGGCCAUAUCAUAUCACUUAUAUUGAUUGCAUGUGAUGUUUAUCUUUUAUGCAUCUUAUCUUGCUUUGAUUGACGGUAGCAUUAUAAGAUGAUCUCUCACUAAAUUAUCAAGAAGUGUUCUCCCUGAGUAUGCACCGUUGCGAAAGUUCUUCGUGCUGAGACACCACGUGAUGAUCGGGUGUGAUAGGCUCUACGUUCAAAUACAACGGGUGCAAAACAGUUGCACACGCGGAAUACUCGGAUUAUACUUGACGAGCCAAGCAUAUACAGAUAUGGCCUCGGAACACGGAGACCGAAAGGUCGAGCGUGAAUCAUAUAGUAGAUAUGAUCAACAUAGUGAUGUUCACGAAUGAAACUAGUCCAUCUCAUGUGAUGAUCGGACAUGGUUUAGUUGAUUUGGAUCACGUGAUCACUUAGACGGACUGGGUCCGUAACUUGAGGAUUAUCCUCAUUGCUGCACAGAAGAAUUACGUCCUGGAAGCACCGCUAGAUGCCAGGCCUACUGCUGGAGCAACACCAGAUGUUAUGAACGUCUGGCAGAGCAAAGCUGAUGACUACUUGAUAGUUUAGUGUGCCAUGCUUUACGGCUUAGAAUCGGGACUUCAACGACGUUUUGAACGUCAUGGAGCAUAUGAGAUGUUCCAGGAAUUGAAGUUAAUAUUUCAAGCAAAUGCCCGAAUUGAGAGAUAUGAAGUCUCCAAUAAGUUCUGUAGCUGCAAGAUGGAGGAGAACAGUUCUGUCAGUGAGCAUAUACUCAAAAUGUCUGGGUAUAAUAAUCACUUGAUUCAGAUGGGAGUUAAUCUUCCAGAUGAUUGCGUCAUUGACAGAAUUCUCCAAUCACUGCCACCAAGCUACAAGAGCUUCGUGAUGAACUAUAAUAUGCAAGGGAUGAAUAAGACUAUUCCCGAGCUCUUCGCAAUGCUGAAAGCUGCGAAGGUAGAAAUCAAAAAGGAGCAUCAAGUGUUGAUGGUCAACAAGACCACUAGUUUCAAGAAAAAAGGCAAAGCGAAGAAGAAGGGGAACUUCAAGAAGAACAGCAAGCAAGUUGCUGCUCAAGAGAAGAAACCCAAGUCUGGACAUAAGCCUGAAACUGAGUGCUUCUACUGCAAGCAGACUGGUCACUGGAAGCGGAACUGCCCCAAGUAUUUGGCGGAUAAGAAGGAUGGCAAGGUGAACAAAGGUAUAUGUGAUAUACAAGUUAUUGAUGUGUACCUUACUAAUGCUCGCAGUAGCACCUGGGUAUUUGAUACUGGUUCUAUUGCUAAUAUUUGCAACUCGAAACAGGGACUACGGAUUAAGAGAAGAUUGGCUAAGGACGAGGUGACGAUGCGCGUGGGAAACGGUUCCAAAGUUGAUGUGAUCGCGGUCGGCACGCUACCUCUACAUCUACCUUCAGGAUUAGUAUUAGACCUGAAUAAUUGUUAUUUGGUGCCAGCGUUGAGCAUGAACAUUAUAUCUGGAUCUUGUUUAAUGCGAGACGGUUAUUCAUUUAAAUCAGAGAAUAAUGGUUGUUCUAUUUAUAUGAGUAAUAUCUUUUAUGGUCAUGCACCCUUGAAGAGUGGUCUAUUCUUAUUGAAUCUCGAUAGUAGUGACACACAUAUUCAUAAUGUUGAAGCCAAAAAAUGCAGAGUUGAUAAUGAUGGUGCAACUUAUUUGUGGCACUGCCGUUUAGGUCAUAUCGGUGUAAAGCGCAUGAAGAAACUCCAUACUGACGGACUUUUGGAACCACUUGAUUAUGAAUCACUUGGUACUUGCGAACCGUGCCUCAUGGGCAAGAUGACUAAAACACCGUUCUCCGGUACUAUGGAGAGAGCAACAGAUUUGUUGGAAAUCAUACAUACAGAUGUAUGUGGUCCGAUGAAUAUUGAGGCUCGUGGCGGAUAUCGUUAUUUUCUCACCUUCACAGAUGACUUAAGCAAAUAUGGGUAUGUCUACUUAAUGAAACAUAAGUCUAAAACAUUUGAAAAGUUCAAAGAAUUUCAGAGUGAAGUUGAAAAUCAUCGUAACAAGAAAAUAAAGUUUCUACGAUCUGAUCGUGGAGGAGAAUAUUUGAGUUAUGAGUUUGGUGUACAUUUGAAACAAUGCGGAAUAGUUUCGCAACUCACGCCACCCGGAACACCACAACGUAAUGGUGUGUCCGAACGUCGUAACCAUACUUUACUAGAUAUGGUGCGAUCUAUGAUGUCUCUUACUGAUUUACCGCUAUCGUUUUGGGGUUAUGCUUUAGAGACGGCCGCAUUCACGUUAUAUAGGGCACCAUCAAAAUCCGUUGAGACGACGCCUUAUGAACUAUGGUUUGGCAAGAAACCAAAGUUGUCGUUUCUGAAAGUUUGGGGCUGCGAUGCUUAUGUGAAAAAGCUUCAACCUGAUAAGCUCGAACCCAAAUCAGAGAAAUGUGUCUUCAUAGGAUAUCCAAAGGAAACUAUUGGAUACACCUUCUAUCACAGAUCCGAAGGCAAGACUUUUGUUGCUAAAUUGGGAAACUUUCUAGAGAAGGAGUUUCUCUCGAAAGAUGUGAGUGGGAGGAAAGUAGAACUUGAUGAGGUAACUGUACCUGCUCCCUUAUCGGAAAGUAGUACAUCACAGAAAACUAUUUCUGCGACACCUACACCAAUUAGUGAGGAAGCUAAUGAUAAUGAUCAUGAAACUUCAGGACAAGAUACUACUGAACCUCGUAGAUCAACCAGAGUGAGAUCCGCGCCAGAGUGGUACGGUAAUCCUGUUCUGGAAAUCACGCUGCUAGAUCAUGAUGAACCUACGAACUAUGAAGAAGCGAUGGUGAGCCCAGAUUCCGCAAAAUGGCUUGAAGCCAUGAAAUCCGAGAUGGGAUCCAUGUAUGAGAACAAAGUAUGGACUUUGGUUGACUUGCCCGAUGAUCGGCAAGCAAUUGAGAAUAAAUGGAUCUUCAAGAAGAAGACUGACGCUGACGGUAAUAUUACUGUCUACAAAGCUCGACUUGUCGCAAAAGGUUUUCGAUAAGUUCAAGGGGUUGACUACGAUGAGACCUUCUCACCCGUAGCGAUGCUUAAGUCUGUCCAAAUCAUGUUAGCAAUUGCCGCAUUUUAUGAUUAUGAGAUUUGGCAGAUGGAUGUCAAAACUGCAUUCCUGAAUGGAUUUCUGGAAAAAGAGUUGUAUAUGAUGCAACCGGAAGGUUUUGUCGAUCCAAAGGGAGCUAACAAAGUGUGCAAGCUCCAGCGAUCCAUUUAUGGACUGGUGCAAGCCUCUCGGAGUUGGAAUAAACGCUUUGAUAGUGUGAUCAAAGCAUUUGGUUUUAUACAGACUUUCGGAGAAGCCUGUAUUUACAAGAAAGUGAGUGGGAGCUCUGUAGCAUUUCUGAUAUUAUAUGUAGAUGACAUAUUACUGAUUGGAAAUGAUAUAGAAUUUCUGGAUAGCAUAAAGGGAUACUUGAAUAAGAGUUUUUCAAUGAAAGACCUCGGUGAAGCUGCUUACAUAUUAGGAAUAAAGAUCUAUAGAGAUAGAUCAAGACGCUUAAUUGGACUUUCACAAAGCACAUACCUUGACAAGAUUUUGAAGAAGUUCAAAAUGGAUCAAGCAAAGAAAGGGUUCUUGCCUGUGUUACAAGGUGUGAAGUCGAGUCAGACUCAAUGCCCGACCACUGCAGAAGAUAGAGAGAAAAUGAAAGAUGUUCCCUAUGCUUCAGCCAUAGGCUCUAUCAUGUAUGCAAUGCUGUGUACCAGACCUGAUGUGUGCCUUGCUAUAAGUUUAGCAGGGAGGUACCAAAGUAAUCCAGGAGUGGAUCACUGGACAGCGGUCAAGAACAUCCUGAAAUACCUGAAAAGGACUAAGGAUAUGUUUCUCGUAUAUGGAGGUGACAAAGAGCUCAUCGUAAACGGUUACGUUGAUGCAAGCUUUGACACUGAUCCGGACGAUUCUAAAUCGCAAACCGGAUACGUGUUUACAUUAAACGGUGGAGCUGUUAGUUGGUGCAGUUCUAAACAAAGCGUCGUGUCGAAAGCAGCAAACGAAGGAGUCUGGAUGAAGGAGUUCAUAUCCGAUAUAGGUGUCAUACCUAGUGCAUCGGGUCCAAUGAAAAUCUUUUGUGACAAUACUGGUGCAAUUGCCUUGGCAAAGGAAUCCAGAUUUCACAAAAGAACCAAGCACAUCAAGAGACGCUUCAAUUCCAUCCGGGAUCUAGUCCAGGUGGGAGACAUAGAGAUUUGCAAGAUACAUACGGAUCUGAAUGUGGCAGACCCGUUGACUAAGCCUCUUCCACGAGCAAAACAUGAUCAGCACCAAGGCUCCAUAGGUGUUAGAAUCAUUACUGUGUAAUCUAGAUUAUUGACUCUAGUGCAAGUGGGAGACUGAAGGAAAUAUGCCCUAGAGGCAAUAAUAAAGAUAUUAUUUAUUUCCUUAUAUCAUGAUAAAUGUUUAUUAUUCAUGCUAGAAUUGUAUUAACCGGAAAGAUAAUACAUGUGUGAACACAUAGACAAACAAAGUGUCACUAGUAUGCCUCUACUUGACUAGCUCGUUAAUCAAAGAUGGUUAUAUUUCCUAACCAUGGACAAAGAGUUGUCAUUUGAUUAACGGGAUCACAUCAUUAGUUGAAUGAUCUGAUUGACAUGACCCAUUCCACUAGCUUAGCACCCGAUCGUUUAGUAUGUUGCUAUUGCUUUCUUCAUGACUUAUACAUGUUCCUAUGACUAUGAGAUUAUGUAACUCCCGUGUGCCGGAGGAACACUUUGUGUGCUACCAAACGUCACAACGUAACUGGGUGAUUAUAAAGGUGCUCUACAGGUGUCUCCAAAGGUACAUGUUGGGUUGACGUAUUUCGAGAUUAGGAUUUGUCACUCCGAUCGUCGGAGAGGUAUCUCUAGGCCCUCUCGGUAAUGCACAUCACUUAAGCCUUGCAAGCAUUGCAACUAAUGAGUUAGUUGCGGGAUGAUGCAUUAAGGAACGAGUAAAGAGACUUGCCAGUAACGAGAUUGAACUAGGUAUUGGAUACCGACAAUCGAAUCUCGGGCAAGUAACAUACCGAUGACAAAGGGAACAACGUAUGUUGUUAUGCGGUCUGACCAAUAAAGAUCUUCGUAGAAUAUGUAGGAGCCAAUAUGGGCAUCCAGGUCCCGCUGUUGGUUAUUGACCGGAGACGUGUCUCGGUCAUGUCUACAUUGUUCUCGAACCGUAGGGUCCGCACGCUUAAAGUUACGAUGACAGUUUCAUUAUGAGUUUAUGCAUUUUGAUGUACCGAAGGUUGUUCGGAGUCCCGGAUGUGAUCACGGACAUGACGAGGAGUCUCGAAAUGGUCGAGACAUAAAGAUUGAUAUAUUCGGACACCAGAAGUGUUUCGGGGAAGUUUCGGAUAAAACCGGAGAACCGGGGGGUUACCGGAACCCCCCGGGGGUUAAUGGGCCUCAUGGGCCUAAAGUGGAGAAGAGGAAAGGCAGCCAGGGCAGGCCGCGCGCCCCCUCUCCCCCUAGUCCGAAUUGGACAAGGAGGGAGGGGCGGCGCCCCCCUUUCCUUCCUCUCCUCUCUCCCUUCCUUCCCCCUCUCCUACUUGGACAAGGAAAGGGAGGGGAGUCCUACUCCGAGUAGGAGUAGGACUCCUCCUGCGCGCCUCCUACUAGGGCCGGCCGCACCCCCCCCUUGGCUCCUUUAUAUACGGGGGCAAGGGGGCACCCUAGGACACAGAAGUUGAUCUUCGUGAUCGUUACUUAGCCGUGUGCGGUGCCCCCCUCCACGAUAUUACACCUCGAUCGUAUUGUAGCGGUGCUUAGGCGAAGCCCUACGACGGUUAAACAUCAAGAUAGUCACCACGCCGUCGUGCUGACGAAACUUCUCCACCGAAGCUUUGCUGGAUCGGAGCCCCGGGUGCGUCAUCGAGCUGUACGUGUGUCAAGAACUUGGAGGUGCCGGAGUAACGGUGCUUGGAUCGGUUGGACCGGGAAGACGUACGACUACUUCCUCUACGUUGCGUCAACGCUUCCGCGUCGAUCUACAAGGGUACGUAGAUCACACUCUCCCCUCUCGUUGCUAUGCAUCACCAUGAUCUUGCAUGUGCGUAGGAAUUUUUGUUAAAUUACUACAUUACCCAACACCGACCUUGGUGAAAAUUUUGAAACUAACAUUGAGGAGACAGAUCGGCCUGAAUUGCUCAAUUCUCACAGCAUCCGUCUUUUUAGGAAGCAGUGUGAUAGUCCCAAAAUUCAAGUGAAAUAAUUGAAGCUGUCCGAAAAACAGAUCAUGGAACAUAGGUGGUAAAUCCCCCUUAAUAAUGUGCCAGCACUUUUUAUAGAACUCUGCCGGGAAUCCAUCGGUCCGGGAGCCUUGUUGUUUUUCAUCUGUGCAAUACCAUCAAAAACCUCCUUCUCCGAAAACAGGGCAACCAGAAUAUCAUUAUCAGCAGCUGAUAGCUGAGGUACGUUCUCAGUCCUGGACUCAUCGAGGGACACACAAUUAUCCUCCGGAGGUCCAAAUAACUGCUUAUAAUAGUCGGUAAUAUAUGUUUUUAGGUUAUCCUGACCUAAAAUAGUGCCCUCGUCUUGCUCAAGCUGAAAGAUACGCUUCUUUUUGUGCUUGCCAUUAGCUAUCAAAUGGAAGAACUGAGUGUUCGCAUCCCCUUGGACCACUUUGCGGACUUUGGCACGCAAAGCCCACUUCAAUUCUUGUUCGCGAAACAGUUCUUUCAGCCUCUUCUCCGCCUCAUUUCUAGCCUGAAGCUGAGCUGGCGACAAGAUAUUGACUUCGGCCUAUAUGUCCAGGGCCUGUAUAAGAGUAAGGAGUCUAUCCUUUUCAAUCUUAUACACACCACUGAGGUUCUUAGCCCAACCCCGUAAGAAACUUCUUAAAUGCCUAAUCUUAUUCUGCCAACGCUCUAUCGCAUUCUUGCCUCCUACACCUCUAUCCCAUUCCCUGGCGAUCAAGUCCAAGAACCCCUCACAUUCAAACCAACACAUCUCGAAGGAGAAGGUAUUCUUGUUACCCUCAUGGUUCGGCUCCCCUGAGUCCACGAACAAUGGGGUGUGAUCAGAUAUUCCCCUCGAAAGAGCUUGCACCGUAACCAUAGGGAACUUUUGUUCCCACUCCACGCUCGCAAGUACUCGAUCAAGUUUUUCAUAGGUUGGGUUUGGUAGAGCAUUAGCCCAGGUGAACUUUCUCCCAGAAAGCUCUAUCUCUCUCAGAUCCAAGCUUUCAAUAAUGGUGUUGAACAUAAACGACCAUCUGCCAUCAAAGUUAUCAUUGUUCUUCUCCUCUCUCCUCCUGAUGAUAUUGAAAUCACCUCCAACUAAAAUUGGAAGCUGUUCUGACCCACAGAUUCGAACAAGGUACGCCAGAAACUCCGCUUUAAGUUCAGGCUGUGAGGCACCAUAAACCGCCACCAAAGCCCAGUUAAAACCAUCUACCCUAGACCUGACUCGAAACUUGACCACGAAGUCUCCCAUCACGACACUUCGGACUUCAAGCGAAUCGCAUCUCACACCUAGUAAGAUACCACCCGAUCUUCCUCGCGAAGGGAGGCAAUGCCAAUCGAAAUCAAUACCACCCACAAGAGAAGAGAGAAACUGGGGCGCAAAGUUUUCUCUACCCGUCUCUGAUAGAGCAACAAAAUCUAACCUCUGCUCUAGAGCUGCCUCAGCUAGGAAUCUUCUUUUAGCCAAGUCCUUCAGACCUCUGCUAUUCCAAAAAAUUCCACUCAUAGUUCAUCAUGGAAUUUUUUACUAACUCGAAUCCUAGCACUCCUAUGAACUACGGAAUCUGGAUAGAUCUUCCGUUUCCACUUACGCUUAGGUUUACUAGGCUCAGUCACCCGGUCCUCAUAACCGGGUUCACAUAUAUUGCUAGCCUCAUUCUCUAGGGGUACAUCAUCUUCCUCAGAGUCAUGAUUGGGGCGUGCUAGAUCCGCACACAGAUUAUCGAGCACUCUAACCCCUAACGCAUCAAUCUCAUCAUCAUUCAUGACGUAAUGACCUGAUCAUCGUCUUUCAAACAAUUUUCCGCGAUAAGUUGGGCAUGAAACAGGAUGGGCCGCUUUGAUGCCAGGACAAUCAUUUUAGGUUUUUUAGGCUUAUGCCCUUGGUUGGUUCCCACUACUCUUAGAUUUCGGACCUACACAGUUUUACCCUUGUUUCAAUAUAAAACCAUUUUUUAUUUUCGAUUUGAACUCAAUUUCAUCAAUUCUGAAGUUGCUACCCACGUGUGUGAUGUGGUCUGUUAGACCAUUGCUUAGGGCAUCUCCAAUGCAGACUCCUACUCCGGCCUCAAAUGUCUGGAACGGAUGGUUCAGACACUUUAGGCCUCCAAUGUGGACUCCUACUUUGGGCCGGACACGUCCAAAAUCACUCAGUCCGUCCACAAAUCGAGAGGCGGGGUUGGGGAGUCUAGGCGUCAUCAUGCCCCAUUACUACAUCUUCACCCAGCAACCACCUCCUUGACCCCUCCUUUUUUUCCAGACGUCCCCCCUCCCCCUCCACUCUCUGUCCCCGUUCCUGGAGGCCAACGCCAACGCCACCACCCCCACCCCACCCCCAUGCCACCUGGUCCUUGCCGUUGCAAUCAUUCGAGCAGAAGGAAUCGCUCCAUAAGGCCAUAAAUCACCUAAGUUGCGGUUGUCUUCCUCGCCUCCGGUCGAGCAUCGCCAUGGUUAGGUCCCAGCGCCCCUCUGUCCAUCUUAGCAAUCCCCAGGAGCUUCCAAAGACGGUGCUGCAAAAUAAUGUAUACAAACUAUAUAACUUGGCUACGAACAAUAGGCCAUCCCUCCAUUUGUCUCCUAUAAGCAGUUCCAACAAUGUAUUAAUGGUGACAGCAGGGUUACAAAUUUGUAAUUCCUCUCGAAUAGCCUCCUACAUCCGAUCGCUGGAGCGAAGGAAUGUUCAUGGGCUUAUUCUAUUCAGCCUCAGCGCUUCUGAACAGUGGCAACACCAACGAGCAUAAGCUAAACUAUAUGUAGCUCAUAACUUCAGGUAGUAGUUGAUAGCAAAAGAAUUUUCCAGGCAAUAACUGAGAUUGCACUGUAUUUUCUUCCGAUCCCAAAUAGAGGUAUGUCGAGAGAUUACUGCAUCUCUUUUGUUCUCUUGUCGAGGCCAGCAUAUCCUUUUUCUGAAACUAAUUCUAGCAUAUCUCCUGGGAAACUGCAGCAGUGAACACACACUGUAAGAAAUCUCUUCUAAACAUUUCCGUUUGAUGUGUAUGACCAGUACUCGUUGACCAGCUCACGGAAGAGAGAUCCCUCAGUUUCCAUGAGCUUCAUGGGCUUGUCAUACUCCACUACUUUCCCUGGAAAUGUAUGCAGAUCAGUAGUAUGGAAUACUAUGCUGCGGAACCAAUAAGUUGCAGAAUUAGUAAGUUGGCAAUAAGAGAAACCAAUAGGUUGCGGAACCAAUAAGUUGUCAUACUCCGCUAGUUUCCCACAUUAGUAUGGAAUACUAUGUUGAAGAACCAAUAAGUUGGCAAUAAGAGGAACAUACAUACCAUCACUUAUUGCAAGUACCAUGUCACAGCCCAUAACUGUUGGUAUACGGUGUGCGACAGUAAUAACGGUGCAAUGUUUGGAUUCUGACUGGAUCGUUUUCUGAAGGACGGCAUCAGUUGCAUUAUCUAUAGAGGCCGUGGCUUCAUCAAGAACUAAGAUCCUGCACCUUUUCAAAAGUGUGCGGCCCAAGAAAAAGAGCUUCCUAUGGCUCAUGCUCCAGUUUGACCCGUCUUCCGCAACUGUAUGGAAAGAUAUAGAUCAGUACUAUGAAGAACACAAUUCCAGACAUCAUGCAAGCAAACUGAUCCGACUCAUACGCCUAGUACUACAAGCAGUUUGACAGAUUUAUUGGCGCAUGUAUUCUAAUUGGUUAGGGGCAUAAAAUCAAAAGACUGAAGCAGAAUUGUAAUAUGCUAUCCUAUUUUGUUAGGGGCAUAAAAUGAAAUCCAGAAAUCAAAUCAUAGGUACAGUGAGGUUUCCUACCAAGUGAAUCCAAUCCCUGUUCCUUCUCCCGGACAGCUUCAAGAAGUUGGCAUUUGUCAAGAACCUGCAAUGUCAGCCAACGGGAAUUGUGAAACGUAAAAAGUAGACAAACUUUACCUCCUGGGUGAAAAUAGCAGCAUAUCAUUUGGUGAAUGAAAUAACCAAAGAAAGGGGGUUUAGGAGUUUAGCCAUACAGAAAAAGGCCACAAGAUUACCUGUAACCGAAUUGCCAAAACUAUCAUUGGCAAUGGUACAAACAGAACUUUCCAUGUAACAACAGCCAAUACCCCCAUAUUGCUAUAUGCAUUUAAGCUGGAACUAAAGCCAAACAUCAAUGCAAAUGGAACAUCAAGGUCAAUGAUGCUUAAAUCUGAAGAGACCUGCAGGUUGGGGGGAGGGUUGAUCUAUUAAUAUAAAACCUUGUAACGUUAAACUGAAUUGUAGUUCAUAUAGUUGUGUUUGUUUGAGAAUUUUUACCCGGCUAAGAACCAUGCCUAGAGGAGUAGAAUCAAAGACGGACAUUGGUGCACGGAACAAUGAAUUAAGUAGCUGGGAAAAUAAGGAUCUUGAAGUCUGCAUCCCAAGAACAACGAGGAAUAUAGAUCUUGAUAGCACAAAGAACACCGUGCAAACUCCAAUAACAAUGUACACAGAAAUUAACUUUAGUGCACUAACAUCAGGAUUUUGGACAUUAGCGGCCAUCCAUGAAUUCUGUGAUAUUUGCCCAGCUAUGAAAAUUAUGUGAGACAUGACAGAAAGGGAGGCAUACAGGAAGCCUUUUUUCUGGCGCAGGUAUAGGAUAUAAGGCUUAAGACCUGCGUCCCCUGAUUCUCUUUCCUCUGUUUUGAUCAGUUGAUCUACUGGUGAUGGCUUCACAGACUCUAUAUAUCUGUUUCCAUGAAUACCAUCUGUCUCCUUUAUUGGCAAAUCCUUUGCUCUGUGAUGGGCCAUAUUGUUAAGAUCUGAAACACCAGUAGUAUCUUUAUGGUCAUUUACAAGAUAUUUAAAUUCUUGGCAAUCUAACAAUAAAUCAUGAUAAGACGCAGAUCGAAUAACCACCCCAUCUGACAUUAACUGCCAAAAAUUAUCACUAGUUUUAGACGAAAUCGACAAAUAUAAAUACGUGCAUGCUACGGGAAUCACAAACUUUAGAACAAGUAUUUCUCAAAUUCACAACUACUCAACUAGCAUGACUCCAAUAUCACCAUCUUCAUAUCUCAAAACAAUCAUCAAGUAUCAAAUUUCUCAUAGUAUUCAAUGCACUUUUUAUGAUAGUUUUUAUUAUAACUAUCUUGGAUGCCUAUCAUAUUAGGAAUAAUUUUAUAGCCAAAGCAAAUUACCAUGCAGUUCUAAAAGACUCUCAAAAUGAUAUAAGUCAAGCAUGAGAGAUCAAUAAUUUCUAUAAAAUAAAACCACCACCGUGUUCUUAAAGAUAUAAGUGAAGCACUAGAGCAAAAUUAUCUAGCUCAAAAGAUAAAAGUGAAGCACAUAGAGUAUUCUAAUAAAUUCUGAUUUAUGUGUGUCUCUCCAAAAGGUGUGUACAGCAAGGAUGAUUGUGGUAAACUAAAAAGCAAAGACUCAAAUCAUACAAGACGCUCCAAGCAAAACACAUAUCAUGUGGUUAAUAAAAAUAUAGCCUCAAGUAAAGUUACCGAUAGACGAAGACGAAAGAGGGGAUGCCUUCCAGGGCAUCUCCAAGCUUAGGCUUUUGGUUUUCCUUGAAUUUUACCUUGGGUGCAUUGGGAAUCCCCAAGCUUAGGCUCUUGCCACUCCUUGUUUCAAAAUCCAUCAAAUCUUUAUCCAAAACUUGAAAACUUCACAACACAAAACUCAACAGAAAAUCUCAUGAGCUCUGUUAGUAUAGGAAAACAAACCACCACUUCAAGGUACUAUAAUGAACUCAUUCUUUAUUUAUAUUGGUGUUAAACCUACUGUAUUCCAACUUCUCUAUGGUUCAUACCCCCCGAUACUAGCCAUAGAUUCAUCAAAAUAAGCAAACAACACACAAAAAACAGAAUCUGUCAAAAACAGGACAGUGUGUAGUAAUCUGUAGGUUUCGAAUACUUCUGUAACCCCAAAUAUUCUGAAAUAAAUUGGUGGACGUGAGGAAUUUGUCUAUUAAUCAUCUGCAAAAAGAAUCAACGUAAUCGCACUGUCCAAUAAAAAUCGCAGCAAAUCUCGUGAGCGCUAAAGUUUCUGUUUUUUACAGCAAGAUCGCAAAAACUUCCCCCAGGUCUUCCCAAAGGUUCUACUUGGCACAAACACUAAUUAAAAGCAUAAAACCACAUCUAAAUAGAAGCUAGAUGAAUUAUUUAUUACUAAACAGAAUCAAAAAGCAAGAAACAAAAAUAAAAUUGGGUUGCCUCCCAACAAGCGCUAUCGUUUAACGCCCCUAGCUAGGCAUAAAAACAAGAAUAGAUCUAGGUAUUGUUAUCUUUGGUAUGCAAUCCAUAAGUGACUCUCAUAAUAGAUUCAUAAGGUAAUUUAAUUUUCUUUCUAGGAAACUGUUCCAUGCCUUUCCUUAACGGAAAUUGGAAUCUAAUGUUUCCUUCUUUCAUAUCAAUAAUUGCACCAAUCAUUCUAAGAAAAGGUCUACCAAGAAUAAUAGGACAUGUAGGAUUGCAAUCUAUAUCAAGAGCAAUGAAAUUUACGGGCACAUAAUUCCUAUUUGCAACAAUAAGAACAUCAUUAAUCCUUCCCAUAGGUUUCUUAAUAGUGGAAUCCGCAAGGUGCAAAUUUAAAGAACAAUCAUCAAAUUCACGGAAACCUAACACAUCACACAAAGUUUUUGGAAUCGUGGAAACACUAGCACCUAAAUCACAUAAAGCAUAUCAUUCAGGAUCUUUAAUUUUAAUUUUAAUAGUAGGUUACCACUCAUCAUAAAGUUUUCUAGGGAUAAAAACUUCUAAUUCAAGCUUUUCUUCAUAAGAUUUCAUUAAAGCAUCAACGAUAUGUUUGGUAAAAGCUUUAUUUUGAUCAUAAGCAUGAGGAGAAUUUCACACGGAUUGCAACAAGGAAAUACAAUCUAUCAAAGAGGAAUUAUCAUAAUUAAAUUCCUUGAUCCAAAAUAGUGGGUUCAUUGAUAUGUAAAGUUUUGACCUCUUUAAUCCCACUUUUACCAAAUUUUGCAUCAAGAUCUAAAAACUCUAAAUCAUUGGGACGCCUUUUAGCUAAAGUUGACUCAUCUCCAGUCCCAUCAUUAUCAAGAUUCAUAUUGCAAAACAAAGAUUUAAUAGGAGACACAUCAAUCACUUUUAGAUCUUCAUCCUUAUUAUCAUGAAAACAAGAAGAACACACUUUUAUAAGGCAAUCCUUUUUAGCACGCAUCCUAGCGGUUCUUUCUUUGCACUCAUCAAUGGAAAUUCUUAUGGCUUUGAGAGACUCAUUGAUAUCAUGUUUAGGUGGAAUAGAUCUAAGUUUCAAAGAAUCAACAUCAAGAGAAAUUAUAUCCACGUUCCUAGCCAACUCAUCAAUCUUAGGCAAUUUUUCUUCAAGAAAAGCAUUGAAAUUCUUUUGCGAAAUCAUAAAUUCUUUAACACUAGUCUCAAAAUCAGAGGGCAUCUUAUUAAAAUUUCCAUAAGAGUUGUUGUAGGAAUUACCAUAAUUAUUAGAGGAAUUACUAGGAAACGGCCUAGGAUUAAAGUUUCCUCUAUAAGCAUUGUUACCAAAAUUGUUCCUACCAACAAAAUUCACAUCCAUAGAUUCAUUAUUAUUCUCAAUCAAAGUAGACAAAGGCAUAUCAUUAGGAUCAGAAGAAACACUCUUAUUAGCAAAUAAUUUCAUAAGUUCAUCCAUCUUUCCACUCAAAACAUUAAUUUCUUCUAUAGCAUGAACCUUUUUAGUAGUAGAUCUUUUGGUGUGCCAUUGAGAAUAAUUAACCAUAAUAUUAUCUAGGAGUUUGGUAGCUUAUACUAAAGUGAUUUCCAUAAAAGUGCCUCCUGCGGCCGAAUCUAAAAGAUUUCUAGAAGCAAAAUUCAAUCCGGCAUAAAAAAAUUGUAUGAUCUUCCAUAUAUUUAAUCCAUGAGUAGGGCAAUUACGUACGAUUAAUUUCAUCCUCUCCCAAGAUUGUGCAACAUGCUCAUGAUCAAGUUGCUUAAAAUUCAUGAUAUCGUUUCUAAGAGAGAUGAUCUUAGCGGGAGGAAAAUACUUAGAGAUAAAAGCAUCUUUACACUUAUUCCAUGAAUAAUUACUAUUUUUAGGAAAAGACGAAAACCAAGUUUUAGCAUGAUCUCUAAGCGAAAACAGAAAUAGCUUCAAUUUAACAAUAUCAUUAUCCAUAUAUUUCUUCUUUUGCAUAUCACAUAAAUCAACAAAGCUGUUUAUAUGGGUAGCGGCAUCUUCACUAGGAAGACUAGAAAACGGAUCUUUCAUGACAAGAUUCAGCAAAACAGUAUUAAUUUCACAAGAUUCAACAUCGGUAAGAGGAGCAAUCGGAGUGCUAAUAAAAUUAUUAUUGUUGGUAUUGGAGAAGUCACACAAUUUAGUAUCAUCUUGAGCCAUCAUGACAAACAAUCAAUCCAACACACAAGCAAACAAGAGGCAAACAAAAAGAGACGAACUGAAAAGAGGGCGAAUAAAACGGUAAGGGUGAAGUGGGGGAGAGGAAAAUGAGAGACAAAUGGCAAGUAAUGUAAUGCGAGGGAUAAGAGUUUGUGAUGGGUACUUGAUAUGUCUUGACUUGUGCAUAGAUCUCCCCGACAACGGUGCCAGAAAUGGCUUGUUGCGAGAGAUCAAAUCUUGACUUGACUUGGUGCAACCUCCCCGGCAACGGCGCCAGAAAUCCUUCUUGCUACCUCUUGAGCUUGCGUUAGUUUUCCCUUGAAGAGGAAAGAGUGAUGCAGCAUAGUAGCGUAAGUAUUUCCCUCAGUUUUUGAGAACCAAGGUAUCAAUCCAGUAGGAAAUUAUACGCAAGUCGCCUAGUACCUGCACAAACAAACAAGAACCUCGCAACCAACGCGAUAAAGUGGUUUUCAAUCCCUUCACGGCCACUUACGAAAGUGAGAUCUGAUAAAAAUAAUAAGAUCAAUAUUUUUGGUAUUUUUGUUGUAUAGAUUGGAAAAUAAAGAUCGCAAAAUAGAAAUAGCAAGUUGAUAGGAAAAUAAUAUGAUGGAAGAUAGACCCGGGGCCAUAGGUUUCACUAGUGGCUUCUCUCAAGAUAGCAAAUUCUAUGGUGGGUGAACAAAUUACUGCCGAGAAAUUGAUAGAAAAGCGCAUAGUUAUGAGAAUAUCUAGGCAUGAUCAUGUAUAUAGGCAUCACGUUCGCGACAAGUAGACCAAAACGAUUCUACAUCUACUACUAUUACUCCACACAUCAACCGCUAUCCAGCAUGCAUCUAGAGUAUUAAGUUAAUAAGAACAUAGUAACGCAUUAGGCAAGAUGACAUGAUGUAGAGGGAUAAACUCAAGCAAUAUGAUAUAAACCCCAUCUUUUUAUCCUCGAUGGCAACAAUACAAUACAUGCCUUGCUGCCCCUGCUGUCACUGGGAAAGGACACCACAAGAUUGAACCCAAAGCUAAGCACUUCUUCCAUGGUAAGAAAUAUCAAUCUAGUUGGCCAAACCAAACUGAUAAUUCGAAGAGACUUGCAAAGAUAUUGUUCAUAGAUAAUCUAGAUCAUAAACCCACAAUUCAUCGGAUCUCGACAAACACACCGCAAAAAGAAUUACAUCGAAUAGAUCUCCAAGAGAAUCGAGGAGAACUUUGUAUUGAGAUCCAAAGAGAGAGAAGAAGCCAUCUAGCUAAUAACUAUGGACCCGAAGGUCUGUGGUAAACUAUUCACACAUCAUCGGAGAGGCUAUGGUGUUGAUGUAGAAGCCCUCCGUGAUUGAUUCCCCCUCCGACAGAGCGCCCAAAAAGGCCCCAAGAUGGGAUCUCACGGGUACAGAAGGUUGUCACGGUGAAAAUAGGGUUUCGUGGUGCUCCUGAAUAUUUUUGGGGUAUAUAGGUAUAUAUAGGAGGUAGAAGUACGUCGGUGGAGCUGCGAGGGGCCCACGAGGGUGGGAGGCACGCCUACCCCCCUGGGCGCGCCCUCCUGCCUCGUGGCCUCCUCGCUUCUUUCUUGAUGUCCACUCCAAGUAUCCUGGAUCACAUUUGUUCCAAAAAUAACUCUUCUGAACGUUUCAUUCCGUUUGGAUUCCGUUUGAUAUUCCUUUUCUGCUAAACAUUGAAAUAGGCAAAAAACAGCAAUUUGCACUGGGCCUUUGGUUAAUAGGUUAUUCCAAAAAUAAUAUAAAAAGAUAUAUUAAGGCCCAUUAAACAUCUGAAACAGAUAAUAUAAUAGCAUGGAACAAACAAAAAUUAUAGAUACGUUGGAGACGUAUCAAGGAGCAAGUCGGCAACACACGAACUCCACUCCAAGUCUCCAACGCCUCUAUACUGUUGUAGAAGGAAGAAUAUAGAUUAAUCACUAGCUAGAUUAGAUUGAGGACAAAGAAAAGAGAAAUUUAUCUAGAUGUACUUACCUUCCUUUCCUGCAAGCAUCCGGCGGCCCGAUCUGCGAGGUGAGCGAGAAAACGAACCGGCGUGGAGACUGAUGAGGAAUCGCCGCCUCACCGCUGUGCAUGCGUACCUUCUUCGGGCCUCUUGGCAAUUGGGCUUUUGUUGGAAGUUGGAUGAUGGGCCUCUCAGCCUACAGACUUUUCUUUUUUAUUUUCAUUCACGAAUUCAUCAGGGCCUAUAUCAUCUACUACCUGAAAUCUAAAACGUGUGCGCGCGCUAGUUGGAGAAAUCAAGUGACCGCUCUAUCGCAUGCAUGUGUAUAUGUUUUGUCUGCUAGUGCAUGUGAUUGCUGGCAUUAAAUGCGGUCAGACUUGUCACAUGUGAAGAAAAAAUAGAUCCACGCAUAUUUAUUUCUGUUUUCAAAUUUUUAAAAAGUCAUGUCUUUCAAACCACGCACCGAAUUCAGAUCCAUCUUCACCAUUGGAUUCCUCAUGACGAGAUCUUUCAAACUAGAUCCUGCAUGGGUAUGUUUCGACGAAAUGUUUUUAUGCCAACUUUGAUGCUAUAUGGUGCAACUUUAGUACUGUAUUGUGCAACUUUAGUGCAACAUCGUGCAACUUUUUCGGAAACCAAUUUUUAGAUCUGCAUGAUUCAACUUCCUAUGAGAUUGCUAUGUAGCAACUAUGACAACAUUGAUGUGCAACUAGUCUACCGUCUCGACCAAUUACCUAGUAGUCGAUGUGCAACCCUCCUCUCUACAUGUGGAUGUGUAGUUCGUUUACUGUUGGCACACCCUACCCCCUACCCUUGCAAGCAAUAUGUGCAACUUAGUCUAUUAUUCAAUCCAAAUGUCUAUUAGUCAUUGUGCAACUCCUUCCCCUCCCUAUUUGUGGACAUGUACUUUCAGUUGGCGGGGGCAACAAACAGAGUUGCACAUAGUCUGCUAGGUGGUUGGCCAGGGAAACAUACGAAGUUGCACAUCUCAUAGGCAGAGAUAGUCGAAUGGUGAAAAAUUGACAUUCAUGAGGGUAAUGAAAAGUUGCAUAUAAACAGAGUGCUAAAGUUAUAAAUCUCACUAGCAGGGGUGGUUUGGGCCGGGUGAUAGUAGGGAAACUACACAUCCAUGGGGGUAUGAGAGAAAGUGCACAUCACUGUUAGAUAGUUGGCCGUUGCAGUAUUCGAAGUUUCACAUCCACUGUUAGUAUGUUGGCCGAUGCAGCAAACAGUGAAGCACAUCCACGGGCGGGGGAAAGUUGCACAUCAACUACUAUGAAGUUGGCCUGGGCAACAUACGAAGUUGCACAUCUCACUGGAAGGAGGCAGUUUGGGGCUGGAGGUACCAUAAAGGAAAAUUGCAUGUCUACAGUGUAGGAGAAAAGUUGCACAUCUCUAAGGUAGUUGCACAUCGACGACUAGCCAGUUACACAAAACAUGGACAAAAUUACACAAAAAAAUUCCGUCGAAACAUACCCAUGCUGGAUCUAGUUUUGAAGAGCACGCCGUGAGGGUUCCAACAGUGAAAACGGAUCUUAAUUUCGAUGCGCUGCUCGAAAGUUAUGGUUUUUUAAAAUUUAAAAACACAAAUUAAAUGGGUUCACAUAUAUUCACGUGAAUACAUUGCAAUUAUUUAUCUUGUUCACACAUGUCCAUACCUGUUCACUUUGCCUAAUAUGGAUUAGGGAGAGAAAAUAUUUCAUUUUUUGGCCGGCCACCGCGGAGCGCUAGCGGGCCAACGGCCACCUGCUAGACCAGUCCCAUCUACUAUACACACACUGCAGCACGGGUCGGGGCCCCUAGUUUGGCUAGGCCCGGGUCGUCGCCCCUGCUGCCCUGGCCCAGGGCCGGCCCUGACCGGAAGUUUCAACUUUCUUUCUGGAAAAAGGUGGCCCGCAAAUCGACACGCCUGACCUUAUCAUACCGUUGUCACACUGGGCUUAGCGACCUCGCCUUGAUUGCUAAAUUUGAUCUGCUGGGGCCCGAUGGGUUGUUUUCAGGGCAGUCGUGUCGAACUUGGGCAGUUGUUAAUUUGUGAGCCAAAUCCUAACUGAUACGAGCAGUUUUUAAUGUGUGAAGCACAAUUCAACUGCUGAUGAGGCAGAGUGUUUUUGUGGGUUCUGGCAUGUCUUUUUUCUUUUCUUUCACAAGCAUGCCAAUUUGUACAUUCUUUUCUUUAUGAGAAGACAAUGCUCAUGCCAGUUGCGGGAAAAAACUUUCAAUACUCCCAAAUUGCUAUAUGCGUUUAUGCUGCCACUGAAGGUAAGCAUGAAGGCAAAUGGAACAUAAAUGUCAAUAAUACUCAAAUCAGAAGAGACCUCAGGGGACGGGGGUGAUUGUGGUGGAUAAUCCAUCAGUAGAAAAUGAGUGUGAAACAUAAAUGUAUUAUCAUAAUUGUCAUGUGUUUAUUUAUUUUUACCUGGCUAAGAACCAUGUCUAGAGGAGUAGAAUCAAAGGACAUGGGUGUUUGGGACAAUGGAAUGAGCAACUGCAAAAAUAAGGAUCUUCAAGUCUAGAUGCCAAUACCGAUCAAUAAUGAUCACGAUAGUACAAAGAAAAUUGUGCAAAAUCUGAUAAUAAUAUAAACAUAAGUUAAUUUCAGUGUACUACACGAGCAUUUUAGACAUUGGCAGCCAUCUAUGAAUUCAGUGAUAUUUUCCCAGCAAAGAAAUUUCGGUUGUGUUGAUUUCUUUUCACUUUCAGUUCAACAAAGUUUUCAUCAAGAAAGAAAGGUUUGUGAGCUUUACAUCCAUGGUUGUCCCUUACUCUAGUUCAUGUCAAUGAUAUAUAUGAUCCGAUAUUUCUUAUAAACUGCAAUUUUUGAACAAGUUUGUGAAGAAACCAAACUUUUGCGAAGAAGAAUCAUACUAUUUCUAUUUAACAUUUCUUUAUGAUGUAUAAAUUGGAUACGGUGUGUUUCUCCUACAUUUUUGUAUGCGGCCUACAUGAAUACACAAAGAAGGUUUACAAUAACAAGAUACGAGUUUAGGUGGUAUCCGCAACAAAGUCUUGUAUCACAGUCCUUACAACAACCGGAAUUCGAACUGAGUGGGUACUUCCGUCUGACCAUGUCAAGCUCCCGAAAGUGUAUCCUCCUUGCACUCUCUGACUUGUGGUGAAUGUCACCAUAAAUGUUGCGCUUCUACUGCUUCCUUUGGUGAAAGUAAUCACAGAUGGUUCUACCGACACAUCUAUCCCUGCUGGAGCUUCAACCACUAAAUGAUAUGUUGCUUCCGCUGGCCCAACGUUAGUCACAGUGUGCCGAAGCAUGACAUGGUCCUUGAGGUCCGGCACGACAAUUGACGGGAGGUUGAGAUUGAGGUAGUAGGACUCACAACCAUCUAAAUAUCCAAGAGUGCAGUUCAAAAACUUGUUGUACUCUCUUGCAUCCACGUCAUAAACCAAGCCAGGGUCAACAGCUCUAUCUGGGUCUAUGUGUCCACCACCAAAGUCGAAGGGGUCAGCUAGUUUCCUUGGGACCGCUUCUGCUUGGAUUGGCAUGCCAAAAC